UGCCUUAUUCCUUUAAUAGAAAUUAGUUAAAAGAUUUAGAUUUUUUUAAAAUUUUAUUUUAGUAAUAGGUUUUUAUAUUUAAUAUUUAUUUAUUAUUACUUUUGAGUAAAUAAUUUUUUGUCAUGAAAAUUUGUUGUUAAAAGCUUGAUAAAAAAAGUGCCAGCUUUCGCGGUUAUACUUUUAAUUUAAAAUUAUUUUUAUAAAAAUAUUUUUUAAUUAAUUUUAUAGAUUAGUAUUUAAGUAGAAUAUAAUUGUAAGUAUUAAGGUUAGUAUAUAGUUAUUUUUUUAAGUUGUGGUUUUAAACUAAGAUUAGAUACCUUACUAUUUAUUAAAAUGUUUUUGAUGAAUAAUUAAAACUUUUGGCGGUAGAGUAUUAGAUUAGAGGAGCUUGUUAUUUAAUUAGAUAAUCCUCUUUUAAUUUUUCUUUUUUAAAAUUUAUGUAUUGCUGUAAAAAUAUUAUUUUGAUGUUAUGGUUUUAAAUGAGAAUAUUUCAAGUCAAUUAGUAGUGCAUAAAAAAGAAUGAAUGAGCUACAUUAUAUAUUAUUUUAAUUCUUAAAAGUUUAAAAGAUUUCAGAAAGGAUUUAAUUGUAAUAAUUUGAGUUAAUUUAAUCUUUAUGAUUUUAGGAUACUUUAUACACAUAUUGCCCGUCAUUCUUUUAGAAAGACAAGUCGUAACAAAGUAAAGGUACUGG
rnacentral:rRNA from 1 species